rnacentral:rRNA from 1 species
ACCAGACUCCUACGGGAGGCAGCAGUGGGGGAUAUUGCACAAUGGGGGGAACCCUGAUGCAGCGACGCCGCGUGGGUGAAGGAGCGUUUCGGCGCGUAAAGCCCUCUCGGCAGGGAAGAAGGAGGACGGUACCUGACUAAGAAGCCCCGGCUAACUACGUGCCAGCAGCCGCGGUAAUACGUAGGGGGCAAGCGUUAUCCGGAUUUACUGGGUGUAAAGGGGGCGCAGACGGCAGCGCAAGCCAGGAGUGAAAGCCCGGGGCCCAACCCCGGGACUGCUCUUGGAACUGCGCGGCUGGAGUGCAGGAGGGGCAGGCGGAAUUCCUGGUGUAGCGGUGAAAUGCGUAGAUAUCAGGAGGAACAUCAGUGGCGAAGGCGGCCGCCUGGCACAAAACUGACGCUGAGGUGCGAAAGCGUGGGUAGCAAACAGGAUUAGAUACCCCCGUA